UUCACGAUGGCCGAGAAAUAGGCAUUAAGCUUUUAACUUAAGGACAGUUCAACACUUCGUGAGC
rnacentral:tRNA from 1 species